GGAGAGGAGGAGGGGAGACAGUCUCCAGAUCACAGGAGAAAGAAAGAGAUGAAGUGUGUACGUACAUGAGAGCCCGGAAGGAUCUGGUGUCAGAAGAAGAUAUAUGAUGCUAAAGGCCCCAGGCUCUGUCUCAUGGCGAUGAAUGAAAAGAAUAACUCAGUAAGCAAGAGUCAGUUCCCCAAAAGGGUUGACUCUGAGGGGAGAUGAAGACAAUACCCUUUUCAGGAUGGAAGACAACCCCACUGGGACGGCAAAGGAACCUCACUUCCUCGGAUGGUCUCCAAGAGGCCUUUUCUCCUUCAUGAAAAAAAAUUUGGCCCAUCCAACCUGCCCCACGAGAAAAGAUAGAAGAUAAUUUCGUGUCUCCUCAUGAACCGGGUUGCCUAAAUAGAACUGGAGAGGGCGAAAGAUUUGGGAUUUGAGGUCUGUAGGGGGGGAAGUUGUGUUCUUUUUCCCGUAAAAAAGCAAAAGAUUAUGUUCAAUUAAGAAGCAUUAAUGGGGGUUGGAACUUAUGCCAAGCUGGAGGGGCGAAGAAGAAAAAACGAGACCAGGGUCAUGGCAGAACAAUGUCUUGUUGACAUCACUUGAAGGAGCAAUUCAUGAAGUGGGAAGUGAAUGAGGGCUUGCUGAAAUAUCUUUCCCUCCCUCUAAAUUCAUCAAAGAAGACUCUGAACUCUUCUGUCUCCAUCCUCCUCAUCCCCCCCUUCUCCCUCAUCUCCAUGAGGAGCAUCAUGAGAGGAGGCUAAUAGGGGAGGGUGGUGGCCAUUUUGCCUCCCUCUCGCCAGCUGAGGAAAGAAGCCACAUUCUUUUG